UGUCGAUGAAGAGCGCAGCAAACUGUGGGAAUUCAUGUGAAAUGCAUGCUCAUUUGAACAUCGACAUCUUGAACGCACAUUGCGGCCACGGGUUAGCUCGUGGCCACGUCUGUCCGAGGGUCG
rnacentral:rRNA from 4 species